rnacentral:rRNA from 1 species
GUGAGGAAUAUUGGUCAAUGGACGAGAGUCUGAACCAGCCAAGUAGCGUGAAGGAUGACUGCCCUAUGGGUUGUAAACUUCUUUUAUAAGGGAAUAAAGUGAGGGACGUGUCCCUUUUUGUAUGUACCUUAUGAAUAAGGAUCGGCUAACUCCGUGCCAGCAGCCGCGGUAAUACGGAGGAUCCGAGCGUUAUCCGGAUUUAUUGGGUUUAAAGGGAGCGUAGGUUGACGUAUAAGUCAGCUGUGAAAGUUUACGGCUCAACCGUGAAAUUGCAGUUGAUACUGUAUGUCUUGAGUGUACAAGAGGUGGGCGGAAUUCGUGGUGUAGCGGUGAAAUGCUUAGAUAUCACGAAGAACUCCAAUUGCGAAGGCAGCUCACUGGGGUACAACUGACACUGAGGCUCGAAAGUGUGGGUAUCAAACAGGAUUAGAUACCCGAGUAGUCC